rnacentral:rRNA from 1 species
AGUGAACGCUGGCGGUAGGCCUAACACAUGCAAGUCGAACGGCAGCACAGUAAGAGCUUGCUCUUACGGGUGGCGAGUGGCGGACGGGUGAGGAAUACAUCGGAAUCUACUUUUUCGUGGGGGAUAACGUAGGGAAACUUACGCUAAUACCGCAUACGACCUACGGGUGAAAGCAGGGGAUCUUCGCACCUUGCGCGAUUGAAUGAGCCGAUGUCGGAUUAGCUAGUUGGCGGGGUAAAGGCCAACCAAGGCGACGAUCCGUAGCUGGUCUGAGGGGAUGAUCAGCCACACUGGAACUGAGACACGGUCCAGACUCCUACGGGAGGCAGCAGUGGGGAAUAUUGGACAAUGGGCGCAAGCCUGAUCCAGCCAUACCGCGUGGGUGAAGAAGGCCUUCGGGUUGUAAAGCCCUUUUGUUGGGAGAGAAAAGCAGCAGGUUAAUACCCCGCUGUUCUGACGGUACCCAAAGAAUAAGCACCGGCUAACUUCGUG